rnacentral:tRNA from 1 species
GGGUUGUAGCUCAGUGAUAGAGUGCUUGCCUCUCAUGCAUGAGGCACUGGGUUCGAUUCUCAGCUCCG